GACGAACGCUGGCGGCGCGCUUAACACAUGCAAGUCGAACGGAAAGGCCUGCUUUCCCUUGUGGAUUGCGGAUACUCGAGUGGCGAACGGGUGAGUAACACGUGAGUGAUCUGCCCCCAACUUGGGUAUAAGCCUGGGAAACUGGGUCUAAUUCCCGAUAGGACUGCAGGGUGGUGCCUGUGGUGGAAAACGAUUUUCUAGUGGUUGGGGAUGAGCUCGCGGCCUAUCAGCUUGUUGGUGGGGUAAUGGCCUACCAAGGCGGCGACGGGUAGCCGGCCUGGGAGGGUGGACGGCCACAUUGGGACUGAGAUACGGCCCAGACUCCUACGGGAGGCAGCAGUGGGGAAUAUUGCACAAUGGGCGGAAGCCUGAUGCAGCGACGCCGCGUGGGGGAUGACGGCCUUCGGGUUGUAAACUCCUUUCGACCGCGAGGAAGCCACCUGGUUGGAAGGGUGGUGACGGUAGUGGUAGAAGAAGCACCGGCUAACUACGUG
rnacentral:rRNA from 1 species